rnacentral:lncRNA from 1 species
CAAAUUAAGUAAGUAACAUGUCUUAAUCUUAUUAUGGAUCAUGUAUCACGUUUUAUAUGGUGAUAAAGUAUUAUUUAUAGAAUUGGAAUUGUGUAGUAAGUAACCCUGAUAUAAUCUUAUUGUUGAAUCAAAUACUUGUUUAUAAAAUUGUAUAUGGCUAUUUAUGUUUUCAUAAAUUUAGGAUCAAGCAUGGGUUAGCAAAUGAUCACAUGAUUUUGGAUAAAUAGCAUUCAUCAUGAUUAUUAUUAUAUUAUGUACACAUGAUUAUGAUGUUAUAGAAAGAUGCAUAGAAAAAUAAAGUUUUCAGCAUGAUCAUGAAUUUAUUCAACAUGAUGCCAAUAUUCACUUUCCAAUGUAUCGAUGAGAAAAGAUUUAUGAAAAGCAUGAUAUGUUUUGAAGAACUCUCAGAUUGCUAUGUAUGACCCCCGCCAGUGGGUAACAGUAACUAGGCAUACGACCCCAGCCAGUGGGUAAAAGUAACUUGGCUUUACGACCCCCGCCAGUGGGUAAUAGUAACUGGAAGAUGACCCUGCAGUGGUAAAGAUUAUGGCCCUCGCCAGCGGGUUACAGUAG